GGUCAGGGUGACGUUGCAGGGCUAUGGUCGGCUCUCUGUGAGCUCAACGUUUAGAUUUUCUCUGGUUUGUACCCUGAAUAAUCUAGAUAAUUGUAAAAUGUAGACACGGUUUUGCAUUGAAUGAUUCCAGGAUUUUAGGUUUAAAGUUGUUGUGCAUGGUAGUUUGGUUCUUCGUAUGGUUUUGAGUGAUUAUAACUUGUACACACUGGGUGCAUAAUAAUGUAAUGUUACACUGAAUAGUAUUAAUGACCAACAGCAACAAACAGAUCCCCUCAAGGUAAGUCUGUUGGCUGUAUUUUAAUGAAGACCAUCGCUGGACUUCAGGAUCUUCCUCCGUUCAGCUCAAGGUGAGGCUGGUUACGUUUUUUCUUUGGUUGGUUCCGGCUGGAAUGUUCGGAUUCCAGUCGGACGGUUUGUGCUUCCCGCCGUGGAAGGUUCUGAGUGCGGUCACUUGAUUUAGUCCCAAUGGUUAGCAUAGAAAGUUGUAGUCUUGACAACCAUAAGAACACUGACACGAAUUUCGUACAAUAUGUUAAUUUCCGAUGGUUGCGCCGUACUUUUAACCACGUUGACGGGACUCUCGCUGCGUACAAAACGGCGUUCUACUUGCGGCCCAAUUUUUGGUGAAGGCUGAAAAUCAUUUCAAGGUGGAAGACAAGUUGAGUAAAUUUGAUUUAAUAUUGAUACUUCUUAGUGUUCAUUGUUACUUCACUGUUACUUGCUGAUAUAAACCUCCUGCUGUAGCUCAAAGGUGAGGCUGAGAGGCUUGGGACCGGAGGCUUGUGGUGCCAGGAUGGACCGGAGACUGAGGCUGGAGACCAGGGGCCUGCAGCACCGGACCAGAGGACCAGGAAUCCAUGGCUGAAGGAGCUGAUGGAGGCCCUGCCUGGUGGAGGAGCCAUGCUGAAAGCCCUGCCUGGUGGAGGAGCUGACGGAGGCCCUGCCUGGUGGAGGAUGUCUGUCGUGGGACCAGGACUCUUUCUGAGGAGAGCAGAUGGAGGAGCUGAGACGCUGGAGGACAACUAGGAAUCAACCAACAAGGAUUCCUCAACGUGUUUCUGGAGCGGAGGCGAGCUGAUGGGG